AUUGGACGCUGGCGGCAGGCCUAACACAUGCAAGUCGAGCGGAUGACGGGAGCUUGCUCCUUGAUUCAGCGGCGGACGGGUGAGUAAUGCCUAGGAAUCUGCCUGGUAGUGGGGGACAACGUUUCGAAAGGAACGCUAAUACCGCAUACGUCCUACGGGAGAAAGCAGGGGACCUUCGGGCCUUGCGCUAUCAGAUGAGCCUAGGUCGGAUUAGCUAGUUGGUGAGGUAAUGGCUCACCAAGGCGACGAUCCGUAACUGGUCUGAGAGGAUGAUCAGUCACACUGGAACUGAGACACGGUCCAGACUCCUACGGGAGGCAGCAGUGGGGAAUAUUGGACAAUGGGCGAAAGCCUGAUCCAGCCAUGCCGCGUGUGUGAAGAAGGUCUUCGGAUUGUAAAGCACUUUAAGUUGGGAGGAAGGGCAUUAACCUAAUACGUUAGUGUUUUGACGUUACCAACAGAAUAAGCACCGGCUAACUUCGUGCCAGCCGCCGCAGUAACAC
rnacentral:rRNA from 1 species